UACGUAGGUGGCAAGCGUUGUCCGGAUUUACUGGGCGUAAAGAGCGCGCAGGCGGUCGGUCAAGUCGCGUGUGAAAGCCCCCGGCUCAACUGGGGAGGGUCACGCGAUACUGAUCGACUCGAAGGCAGGAGAGGGAAGUGGAAUUCCCGGUGUAGUGGUGAAAUGCGUAGAUAUCGGGAGGAACACCUGUGGCGAAGGCGGCCCCCUGGUCGGAUACUGACGCUGAGACGCGAAAGCGUGGGUAGCAAACGGG
rnacentral:rRNA from 1 species